rnacentral:tRNA from 1 species
CAAAGAGUAGUUUAAAUUCAGAACAUUGGCUUUGGGAGCUGGCAGCAGGAGUUAAAAUCUUCUUUCUUUGA